rnacentral:rRNA from 1 species
UACGUAGGUGGCAAGCGUUAUCCGGAAUUACUGGGCGUAAAGCGCACGCAGGCGGUCUUGUAAGUUUGACGUGAAAGCUCCCGGCUUAACUGGGAGAGGUCGUUGAAUACUGCGAGACUUGAGUUUAGGAGAGGGGUGUAGAAUUCCCGGUGUAGUGGUGGAAUGCGUAGAUAUCGGGGGGAAUACCAGUGGCGAAGGCGGCGACCUGGACCGAUACUGACGCUGAGACACGAAAGCGUGGGGAGCAAACAGG